ensembl:lncRNA
CAAAAGCACAAGGUCCUGAGUUCAAUCCCCGGUACUAAAAAAAAAGAAAAGAAAAGAAAGAAAAAAAGAAAGAAAGAAAGAAAGAAAGAAAGAGAAAAAGAAAAAAUAUUAACUGUAUUUUUUCUCUCUAGCUACUUCCAUUCUUUUAUAUUCUCUCCAUUUAAAUAGUCUAUAUUUGUUACGCCACAGCUGGUGCCUGGACCACAAAAGGCUCUUCUCUGACUGUUAUUGUCUAACAGCAAAGUUGCCUAAGGAAAUAGAAUCAAAUAAAACUUCAGUGUUCUAACAAGACAGCUUCAUGGGUAGACAACACUGAAGAUAAGAAGAAUGUGUGGAAUGCGUGCCAGCCCAUAAUGAAGAAAUGACCUGAAGAGGGAAAAGACAGCUGCAGAAAGGGUCUCACUAUGCAGCUCAAACUGCCUAAAACUUACUGCAUAGCCAGGCAGGCCUCAAAUUCACAGUCCUCCUGCCUCAACCUCUUGAGUGCUGGGAUUUCAGUUUUGGAGGCUGAGAAAUCCAAAAUCAAGAGGUCAGCAAAUGCAGUCACCAUCUUCUCAUGUGUUCCACCUGGUGCAGAGCAGAGAGAAAAAUCGCCCUCCUCACCACCUGCGGAACAGAAGACAAAUGAUGCACCUUCACUCCAGCAUACUUAGAGGCAUUAUGAAUAAAGAGUCUACUAAGAAGGUUUAUCACGCCUCCCAGAAAAGUCAGCACACUACAAAUGCAGUGCAGUUUAUGGACUAUGAAUAGGAAACACUCUGAAAUUAAGUGAUAUAAACAAGCCAUACUUUAAACAAGAUGCUCUAAGCAUGCUAUACUAAAUGUAUACCAGUAUUUAUACUGAUCCAUUUAUUAACAUCCUGUGUGCUCAUCUUUCCACACUUACAUAAUUUACCAACAUUUGGUUUCAGUGAGGUCGCACAGUCCAUUAACUAUAUUUCUCAUUACUUUUCAUCAGCCAAUAAUAUUACCAUAGUCGUAAUACUUCCUGUACAUAGGUGAACUUUUCUUACAGCCCAUUUCUAUUUAAAGUUAUAACCACAACAAUUCAUGUGCAGACAGUUGUUGGAGCAGAAUUUCAUUUAAUUAUGUAAUUCUAAGUAGCUGAAGUAUAGUCAAGGUUCAUAAAAGGGAAAAUAAUCAGAGCAAGAAUAACCCAUCAGUGGUGGGUGUAAGAAUAAGGCAAUUAAGAUACUUGGCCCCUUCUGUGUGUAGAAGGCUGGAACACAUCUCUUCAUUUCUCGUUCCCCUGGUAUUUCCUCCUGUCAUAGACAGAAGGGCAAUUUAUUUCCCCUUACAUGGUGAGAAAGGUGAAGAAAUAAAGAAUGCAAAGGGCUGGGGAUUUAGCUCAGUGGUGCCGCUGCCUGCCUCGAAAGCACAGGGUCCUGAGUUUGAUCCCCAGUACCCCCCAAAAAGAAUGCAAUUUUAAAAUAGAUAUAAUAAAAGCCUUGCUACCUUCCUUGCUAAGGGUUAUGAAGUUCUGGUGAGGAACAUUUGAAAUUCCCUUGUAAACUGUAAAGGGAAAACCUUCUUCUGUGGCAGCCUUGCUUAAAAUCUGGCAGUGUCUUCCCUAGGACUUCAGGAUGAAGUUCAGAAUCUGUGUAUGCCUCAGUGAUCCUCCCUGACCUCAGCUCACACCUGCAGACAUCUCCUAUCUCUCAGUCACCUCCAGUGUUCCACAUACAUGACAAGCUUCCAUUCAUGCUCAUCCUUCUCUUUGUACCCUUACUUCUCUGUCCCUUACAUCUGUGUAGGUAUUCCUCCUCCAUGUCCCCUUCGAAACACAUGCUUUCUCUCAAGCAACACUUCCCAGCAGCAGCACCGUGGGCAUUCUGGACAGGACAGGAUUUUUUUUUUAAUUGAGGAGGGUUGGCAGGGCACUAUAGAGUGUUUAGCAGCAUCAGUGACCUCUAUCCACUAGAUGCCAGUAGCAGGCCCCUCAUUUUGACAACCACUUUCCCCAGAAACAAAUUGCAUUUGCUGAGAACCACUGCUCUAAGGUACAGCUUAUACUGGAACCAGUUGUAGUCUAACUAUAGCCAGAUGCUCACAAAAUGUACACACAAAUAAAAAUGCAGCUUUCUUUGUUAGUAGAGGACUGAUCUUGCUUUCAAGCCACCAAGCCACCAUCACACUGGUGAGAGAAAAUAUUUGAUCUGGCUAAUUGAAAGUAUCCUAUUCUUUUCUGGUUUAAAACCUUUUAUUGCAUGAAAAGUGAAGCAUUCCCCUCUGAAGUUUGAUUUCAUGUUUACUCAUAAACAGCAGCUGCUCUCAAAAGUUGUUCACUUAAUCCCUGGUACCAAAAAAAAAAAUUGUUCACUUUUCCUUGGCCUGGUGGCACAUGCCUGUAAUCCCAGCACUUAGAAGGCUGAAGCAGGAGGAUUGCUGUAAAUUCAAGGCCAGUCUGAACUACAUAGUGAGACCCUGUCUCAAAAAACAAACAAACAAAAGUUGUCCACUUCUGAGUAAUUGUGAGUUUGCCUCAGAGCACACAAAUGCUCUAAAGGGCUUUUUGUUUUAUGUCGUAGGAGAAGUGGGCAGAAUGAGCUGGAUGCUCAGAAGUUUGCAAGUUAAGCCAUGGAGCAGAAGCAGGGAGGGGACACUACAUCUGGUCUUCUCUCUGCCUAGAUCUAUUUCCAACUUAAAGUCUAAGCAGGGUGUUUUCAUUCAGCACCUUUCAAAGGACACUUGGAGUUUACCUAGCAUUUCCCCAGAGAUGACAGGAACAAAAUCCUACACGUCAAGAUCUCCCCAGAACUUUCCAGGUUAUUGAAGGUCUCUCUCCCUCCCUCAACUCUGGAAUGGAAGAAUGUGGAGGUAAACAAGCCCAGGUGGGUUGCCCCCUCCACCUUUCUCUGCCUCUCUUCUUUGAACCAAACAGGCUUUGUUUCCCCUUCUCUCCUUUCCCAGGAGGGAUUGCUCUAAUGUCAUAGCCUCUUCCUUCCCCAAAUGGCAUGUUCUGUUACCCUUUUCUGUAACCACAAAGGCAGAAAGAACCAAGCUCACUGAUGAGGGGGUAAUUCAAACUCCUUCAGUUAGCAUAUCUGUCUGAAAAUAUAUAGUCAUCUAUGUCCUCAUUUGUGUCCCUAGAAGGGCAGGAUUGUGCUUGCCUCACGGACUGUUAUAUCCCCACUACUUGGCAUGAUGCUGCUAUCAUAAGUUAACGAGAAUGCAGCAAGCUUGGAAUAACAAAAAUGUAUUAUCUCGUAGUUCCCAUGGAUUAGGAGUCAGGCAUGGCAUAACUUGGUCAUCUUCUUAGGUGACCUGUAUUCAAGAUGUCAACCACCAAGAGACAGGAUCUCAUCCGAGGCUCAAGGACUUUAUAUGGUUGUUGGCAGAAUCCAUUUCCCUGCCACUAUAGAGCAAUAGUGACUUGCUGCAAAGCAAGCAAGAGGCUCUUUCUGACACUUUCAGAGCUUUCAUUUGAUUUAGACUCAUCCAAGAUAAUUGCCCUUUUGAUUAGCUCAAAAUCAACUGAUUUGCAAAGCUUUUAACCUUUGCCAUAAAGCCCAAUCCAAUCACAGGUGCAGCAUUCAUCAUAUUUUCAGGUCCUGCCCACAGUGGAAGGAAACACAAAGAAUGAGUCAUUGAGAAUCAUCUUAGGACUCUGCCUGCUAUGGUACCUCAAAGGUUUGUUGAAUGAAUAAAUGAAAACAAGAAGAAAGAUAUGUACCCCAUUUGUCCUUACAAUAAUUCCAGGAUGUAGGCAGUAUCACAAAGGAUUUGCCUUUAUUCAAAGAGGUAGAAAUUGCAAGAUAGGCUGAAGACUAAGGUCUGUUUGAGUCCUCAGAAAAAUAUUCCCCUCAAACCUCAGCUGUGGUAUGCUGUGUGUGACCAGUGCCUUUCACACAAACAGGUUCAGCCCUUCUGCUCCCACUCUCAGGUUAGAGCCAGCCAUGAGGUGGAGCCACAGGCCCAUGAGUGCUUUCACUGUUCAUCCUCCCAAACACUGGGUCACCCACAGAAUGCAGAGGCCAGUCCUUGGAACUAGGGCUUCUGGGCACAAAGGAGAGCAAGGAUCAGCUUGCUCCUACCUAUAGGUUUUGCUCACAGCCCAACCCUAGAAAAAUUGGCACCUGCAGUAGAUACAGAGGGGAAUCUAGGGAGCCAUUUCUUUUUUUUUUUUUCCCUCCUUCCUCCUCUUAAGGGUAAGUUGGGCUCUGUGCUCUGGUGGGAAUAGGAUGUAGACAAGUUUCCAGACACAGAAAGGCAAGAAUCCUGGGCACCCCAGGGAGAGGUUAUUGGGUCAGUUUGGACAGCAAUGAUAGUGGGUUGUCAGUGGUGGUGGUACUGUGGUGGCUUUGUUUUGUUUUGUUUUUGUUUGUUUUGUACUAGAGAUUGAACCCUGGCCUCUGAACUGAGCUACACCCCAAUCUCUAUUUAUUUAUUUAUUUAUUUAUUUAUUUAUUUAUUUAUUUAUUGUUUUACUUUGAGAUAAGGUCUCUAAGUUGCACAGGCUGGGCUCAAACUUUCAAUCCUCCUGGCUCACCUUCAUAGAGAGCUGAGAUUACACCUGGCUCUUGGUGAUAGUGUUUCAUAUAUGUUAAAAGCAAAAGAAUUUGUAGAAGAAGAGUAACUUCUUCUUCUAUCUGUCUCUGAACCACUCCUGCUUGUGUCUCUUUGACUGUGCACCACAUAUUCUAUCACCUCUAUGUGUCUUCCCAUGGCCUCUUUUGCCUCCCUUCCCUUAAUUUUUCCUGGUUGUUUAUGAUCUUUAACAUGCAAUACUCUUUUUGUCUGCCUUUGUGAUGAUACAUUUACAUUUUUAUCACCUCCAGAUUCCAUAUUAAAGUCUCCCCCCAUCGUAAUAUAAUAUGCAUGAUGUCAAUCAUAUCUCUCCACAAUCUCACAGCAUGCCAGGCACAAAUCCAAGGCAGAUGAUAUUUGUUUGUAUAUUUUCAUAAGCCAUGUUAGGUUUUAAUUGCAAUGAAGCAAUAAAACAAAGAUAUGAAUACAUUAAUCUGUAGCUGGCGUCUUUGUCAUUCACUUCAUGUUGAGCUCCCCAUUGAAAUUCAGGCAUUUCUCCUCAUCAGUGGCUGUUCCUCAGUCAACUGAGAGCUUCUAAAACAAGUUAUCUGCAACUGUAUGCACAUCCAGCUCAUUCCAUCCCACUUCCUUUUCCUGAGAUAUAAAACAAAAUAAACUGCUAGGACAUUUUUGUGCAGAGAGGCAAACUUAUUGUUCACUCAGAAGUGAGCAACUUUGAGAGUAGCUGCUAUUCAUGAAUAGUCAUGAAAGAAAAUUUCAGAGAGGAACUUUGAGAUUUCCUACAAAUAAAUCUUCUAACUGCUACUUAUAUAGAGGCAAAAAUAAUAAAGAAUCCUCCAAAGUAUAGCCAAAUUGUUCAAAAGAAGCUUUUAUUGAUAAAAUAUGAACAUUUGAAGUGAAAGUGCCUGUUCUUAUUCUCUAAUCUUGUUCCCAAUAACCAUUCAUCCUGUUGAUUUCCCUUCCAGCAUCCAACUUGAUUAAAAUGGAAACAGGGGCCUGGGGUGUAGUUUAGUGGUAGAAUGCUUGCCUUGCAUGCAUGAGGCCUUAGAUUCAAUCUCCAGCACUACAAAAAAUAAAACCACAACAAAAUAAAAUUUAAAAACAAACAAAAAGUAAAAAAGGAACUGCAUGGAGACACAGAGACAGGAAAAAAUGCCGUCAUUUGUGGAAAUGAAAGCAGUCACACCUCAAGGUCAGAGAAAAUGGUUGGUGGUGGGAGAUAAAAGUCCAAACCUUAUCGCUGAUGGUCCUUUGCUAAGAAGUUUGGAUCAUCACAGACAACCUCUACACAGAGUGCCUCCUGUUGUGGACUGAAUGGUGACCACCCAAAAGUAUGGCCACAACCUAAGUUGUGAAUGUGACUUUAUUCUUUUUUUAAAAUUAAUUUUAUUGGUACAUUUUAGGUAUACAAUAUAAUGACAUUCAUCAUUGGAAAUCUGCACCUUUACAUAAUCUCUCUUGGUUCUUAUUUGUGAAUGUGACUUUAUUUGGAAAGAAGGUCUUCCCAGAUGUAAUUAAUUUAGAGAUCUUAAAUUCAUAUAAUCCUGGAUUAUUCACUUUAACCCUAAAUCCAAUGGCAAAUAUCUUUAAUAGGAGACAGAGGAGAAGACACAGACACAAGGGAGUUCAAGAGAACACAGAGGCAGAGAUUGGAGUGAUCCAGGCACAAACCAAGGAAGCUGACAGAGGCAAAGGACAGAAUCUCCUCUAGGACUUCCAGAGGGAGCAUGGACAUUCUGUGAACAACUUGAUUUCUGAUGUUUAGCCUUCAGAACAUAAGGGAAUAAAUUUAUGUUGCUGUAAGCCACCCAGUUUGUGGUCACUUGUUACUGCAGUCCUAGGAAACCAAUACCCUAUCCCAUAUACUAGCCUUCAUGGUGAUCUGCUACUCAUCUUUCACAUCCAGCUCAAGUAUGACAUUCUCUGUGAAGACUUCCUGAUGCUCCUAGGCAGAGGGAAUGCCCUCUCCGCUCUUACCUUGUGCAGGGUUUUUCACAGCGUCUAUCACAUUUGCCACGGGGUUUCUCCCAUUAUCCUAAUUUCAUUAUCUGGUGACACCCAGCUGUCUUUGUUCUUGGCACAAUUCCUAAACUUUUCAGGAACUAUCUUCAAAGAUCACCAGACCCCUUUGCAAAGGUGAGACUAAAAUCUUGGAACUCGGCCUCACACUGAAAUGAUCCUCCCACCCUCUCACACUUUUCUUACAAGAGUUUUGAAGUGAGGAUAAAAACAAAUUUAGAUUUGUUAUCUAAAGCUCUACCUGGAGCCAUGUGCCCUAUGUGCCUUUUUGCACAGCAGGGGCAACCUCUCCUUACCUUCUUCAACUCUUGCCAUCAGAAAUUGGCUCUCCUGGCUUUUCCUCACUGUGUUGCAGCAGCUCAUGAAAGCUGCACAGCUGCCUUCCUGGGAGAAAGGCCAGAAUUAAUCAUCUCACAUCUCUAAUAAGAGGUUCAAUACAUAUGUGAGGCAAAAUUGACACAAAAAGAAUGGAAUUUUAUGAACUCUAAGAAAUGAUAGGUUCGCUUCCAAAAUCCCUUUCUACUUUGCAGUGCUGGGAUUUACUUCUCUGUCUUUCCCUGCCAGCUUCAGGGUCACUGGCUUCUGGAGCCUUCCUUUUAGAGUCCCCAUCCCAUCUGCUGACUCCAAUUGCUUUUCCCUGCUGUCAUUCUAUUCUGUCUCAGGACUUAUUCUGAAAUGCAAGCUCUGCAGAGCAAAAUGCCCAACAUCCCUAGGUAGCUAUUCAUCUAGUUUGGAUCAUGAAAGUUCCCCAAAGGUUCAUGUGUUAAAGGCUUGAUCCCCAGCCCAUGGCAUUAUUGAAG